GCACAACGCGAAGAACCUUACCCACCUUUGACAUGUACGGAAUCCUUUGGAGAUAGAGGAGUGCUCGAAAGAGAGCCGUAACACAGGUGCUGCAUGGCUGUCGUCAGCUCGUGUCGUGAGAUGUUGGGUUAAGUCCCGCAACGAGCGCAACCCUUGCCAUUAGUUGCUACGAAAGGGCACUCUAAUGGGACUGCCGGUGACAAACCGGAGGAAGGUGGGGAUGACGUCAAGUCCUCAUGGCCCUUAUAGGUGGGGCUACACACGUCAUACAAUGGCUGGUACAAAGGGUUGCCAACCCGCGAGGGGGAGCUAAUCCCAUAAAGCCAGUCGUAGUCCGGAUCGCAGUCUGCAACUCGACUGCGUGAAGUCGGAAUCGCUAGUAAUCGUGGAUCAGAAUGUCACGGUGAAUACGUUCCCGGGUCUUGUACACACCG
rnacentral:rRNA from 1 species